rnacentral:rRNA from 1 species
GACAUCUGACCUCAAAUCAGGUAGGACUACCCGCUGAACUUNAAGCAUAUCAAUA